CUUAAAUUGUUAGCCUUACAAUCCUCUGAAGACACCUUGCUACGAAUUUCGGUUGUUAUCUUAAAGACAUUGAAUUCUUCAGAGACAUAGACCCAUGCUUUGAGAUUAAAGUGUCGAUCUACUUGUUUGUCAUUGUAGACAAGCUGAGCAAGAGUAGUUUUACCCAUGCCACCAAUACCAACUACGCAGAUCACACCUAUGCCAUGGCUAUUAGAUAACAAUGACUCUGAUUUUUUUUCUGUCAUAUUCCCUGCCACAAAUACUAGAUUCAUCAUCUGGCAGUGAAGUAGUUGGUGUCUUGUGCGAUGAUG
rnacentral:misc_RNA from 1 species